GAUGAACGCUGGCGGCGUGCCUAAUACAUGCAAGUCGAGCGAACGGACGAGAAGCUUGCUUUUCUGAUGUUAGCGGCGGACGGGUGAGUAACACGUGGAUAACCUACCUAUAAGACUGGGAUAACUUCGGGAAACCGGAGCUAAUACCGGAUAAUAUUUUGAACCGCAUGGUUCAAAAGUGAAAGACGGUCUUGCUGUCACUUAUAGAUGGAUCCGCGCUGCAUUAGCUAGUUGGUAAGGUAACGGCUUACCAAGGCAACGAUGCAUAGCCGACCUGAGAGGGUGAUCGGCCAAACUGGAACUGAGACACGGUCCAGACUCCUACGGGAGGCAGCAGUAGGGAAUCUUCCGCAAUGGGCGAAAGCCUGACGGAGCAACGCCGCGUGAGUGAUGAAGGUCUUCGGAUCGUAAAACGCUGUUAUUAGGGAAGAACAUAUGUGUAAGUAACUGUGCACAUCUUGACGGUACCUAAUCAGAAAGCCACGGCUAACUACGU
rnacentral:rRNA from 1 species